AGGUCCCGCCUGCCCUGUGACUAUAAGUUUAACGGCCGCGGUAUUUUAACCGUGCGAAGGUAGCGUAAUCACUUGUCUUUUAAAUGAAGACCUGUAUGAAUGGCAUCACGAGGGCUUAGCUGUCUCCCAUCUCCAGUCAAUGAAAUUGACCUCCCCGUGCAGAGGCGGGGAUGCUCACAUAAGACGAGAAGACCCUAUGGAGCUUUAGACCUAAGGUAAGUCACGUUUAAUGUGCUAUAAUAACAGUGAAAACUUAGUGAUAUUUACUGAAGUGUCUUUGGUUGGGGCGACCGCGGGGUAAAACACAACCCCCAUGUGGACCGGGGAUAUUAUCCCUAAUACUCAGAGCCUCUACUCCAAGUAACAGAAAUUCUGACUUUUCUGAUCCGGUAUGACCGAUCAACGAACCGAGUUACCCUAGGGAUAACAGCGCAAUCCCCUCUCAGAGCCCAUAUCGACGAGGGGGUUUACGACCUCGAUGUUGGAUCAGGACAUCCUAAUGGUGCAGCCGCUAUUAAGGGUUCGUUUGUUCAACGAUUAAAGUCCUACGUGAUCUG
rnacentral:rRNA from 1 species